rnacentral:misc_RNA from 1 species
AUGAAGCUCAAGAGAAGCUAUGCAUGGCUAUAGCCACCAGAUGAAAACGAUUUUUCAACAAAGUGUCGACCCCAAGAUGUCAAGCAAGCCGAAAAGGAUCCAAGUGCAGCUAUUGACACAGCACCAAAAACCAUGGAACAACCGAACGAAAACUGGUGAAACUUGGCAGAGCUUUGACGAUCUCAAUCUCGUGGUCUUUUAGGGCUAGGAAACCAUCAUAGGGCGCCAGAAUGUCCCCAAGGUAACUUGUUACCAGCCUCUAACAAAAUAUAGCCUUCUGCAACCAUAACA